GAUGAACGCUGGCGGCGUGCCUAAUACAUGCAAGUCGAGCGAACAGACGAGGAGCUUGCUCCUCUGACGUUAGCGGCGGACGUGUGAGUAACACGUGGAUAACCUACCUAUAAGACUGGGAUAACUUCGGGAAACCGGAGCUAAUACCGGAUAAUAUAUUGAACCGCAUGGUUCAAUAGUGAAAGACGGUUUUGCUGGCACUUAUAGAUGGAUCCGCGCCGCAUUAGCUAGUUGGUAAGGUAACGGCUUACCAAGGCAACGAUGCGUAGCCGACCUGAGAGGGUGAUCGGCCACACUGGAACUGAGACACGGUCCAGACUCCUACGGGAGGCAGCAGUAGGGAAUCUUCCGCAAUGGGCGAAAGCCUGACGGAGCAACGCCGCGUGAGUGAUGAAGGUCUUCGGAUCGUAAAACUCUGUUAUUAGGGAAGAACAAAUGUGUAAGUAACUAUGCACGUCUUGACGGUACCUAAUCAGAAAGCCACGGCUAACUACGUG
rnacentral:rRNA from 1 species